GAGAGCUUUCUCUCUUUUCUCUCUAUUUUACUUCAUCUUCAAGCUUUGUCUUCUAGCUUUCAUGGUAUCAGGAGCCCAGGCUGCGACCUUGGUGCUUCAAAUCUCACUAUUCUUUGCUUUAUAUUGCUCAGUUUGAGCUUGUUUCUGCUACAGAUAAGUUCUUUCUUUGAUUCUGAAGAUGUUCUAGUCCAAUUUUUGAUGAAGUUUAUGUGAUUUUGCUGCAAAUUCAUACUUGUUCUUGCAUCGAAGCUGUGGUUUUUCAUCCUGAGUAUGUUGAUAUAAGUAAUCUUGAAAGUAGUUGUUAGAUUCUUCCAGAUCUAUAAUUCCUCUUUAAGUCGAAACCCUAACUUUGCAAUUCAAGCUGUAAUUCUUGCUAUUACACUUGUCUACACUUAGAUCUAUACCUUGAAACCCUAGUUUUUGCAUUCUAUAGCCAUGACCACAUCUACCCUUCCAAACUCAAUUCAUACUACUCAACAAACCACUAUUUUCCUACCAAACAUUCUUCUUGAUGAAACAAAUUAUCCUACUUGGUUGUUCCGGUUGGAGUCCUUUCUCAGGGGCCAAAACUUGUUUGGCUUUGUUGAUGAUACAAAUGCUUGUCCACCUCAGUUUAUCCGUGCCUCUGAUGGAUCCAUAAGCACCAUAUCUGUUGAGUUCAUCUCUUGGAAGACUCAGGAUCAAAGUAUUGUGAAUAUGUUUGGCCAAACUCUUAGUCCCGUGGCUAUGACAUGUGCUGUUUGUAGUAAAUCACCUCAAGACUUUGGACUAGACUCAAGCUAAAAUUUACUAAUGCAAAUAAGCAGAAUAUUUUACAGCUCAAGUCAAAUCUUUAGAAUGUUAAGAAAGGAUCUGAUGACAUUGAAACUUAUCUUGACAAAAUCAAGGCUGCAAAGGAUACACUUGAAACUGUAGGAGUUUCAAUAGAUGAUGAUGAUAUUGUUGUUACAGUCCUCAAUGGUUUACCAUCUGAAUUUGAUGCAAUCAAGACAGUGAUUAGAGAACAAUUCACCAGCUGCUCCUUGAGUCAACUCAAAACAUUGCUAAUAGCAGCAUAAAUGGAUAUUGGAAAUGAAGCAUAAGGUAUUCAGAGCCUACUCACUGCAAUGCUUGCUAAGAUCAAUACCCCAACUCAAUCAUCCUCCUCUCAGUCAUCUUGUGCCACCUCUUCUUCCCCAUCAGUGCCUACUACAACUCAAGCUCCACAGUUCACUCUCUCCACCUCAUCUCCUAUGCAGCCUCAGUCUCAAAUGCAGACUUCUACUCAAUCUAUUGUUGCUCCUGCUAUUCCACCUAGCUUCUCCACUCCAAGCUUGCCUUCUUAUCCCAUCUCAGGUCAAACACCCUACAUGCCUUUACCUGCCAUGCCUUAUGGCUUCACAUCAUUUUCAUCAUAUCCUGUGUUCAAUGCACCUACUGGUGUGACUGGCUUUUAUGCUGGCAGAGGUACUAGCAGGUCUAAUAAUAAUAGUGGUAGAGGAUACAACAAUUACAACUUUGGUGGUGGAAGAGGCAAUACAAUGAAUGUCAAUGCUGGUGGUUUUAGACCUACUGGAAAUGUAGGAAACAAUCUCACUUGUCAUGGUCAACAAGGUUGGUCAUGGGGCCAAAACUUACAGAGCUCUACCUAAUCCUCAAAAUGCCAACAACUCAAAUACUCAAGGUGGAUGCCAAUACUGUGGAAAGCCUGGUCAUACAGCAGAUAGGUGUUACUUCAUCAUUGGUUUUCCUGGACAACACAGUGAAACUAAAGAAGCAACUGCAAUGGUUGCUGCCACAAAUCUUGCUCCUUAAUACUGGCUUGCUGACACUGAAGCCACCAAUCAUAUGACUAACAACCUCCAAAUGCUCAACAAUGUGAUUCCAUAUCCUACCACUGAUGGAGUGCAAAUUGGACAAGGUGCAGGGCAAAAUUUUGUACCAAGGACUGAGUAAACAAGGCCUAUAUCCCACACCAUUUGACUUGCCUCUUUUCAAUAAUGCUUCUACAAUAGGUGAGAAUAAUAAGGAAUCUAUUAAAGCUUCAUCAACUCCUCAGCAAUCUGUAUUUCUUGGACAGCAAGUGGCACAAUCUUUGGCAUUAGAGACUUGGUCAUCCUACAAAUGAAAUUGUUCAGCUCAUGCUUCAGAAAUGCAAGAUAGAUCAGCCUGCAGAUUGUAUGAAGACGGUUUGUAAGUCAUGUCUGUUAGGAAAGUUUCAUAAGCUGCCCUUUUCUGCUUCUCAAACUAGGAGUUCUUCACCCUUUGAACUUGUACAUUCUGAUGUCUGGGGGCCUUCCCCACAUCUUUCUAGAGAUGGUUAUAGAUACUUUCCCUAUUCAUUGAUGAUUGUACAAGGUUCACUUGGAUGUUUCCAAUGAAGAAUAAAAAUGAAGUUCUUGGUUA